GGCAAGAUGGCCGAGCGGUUAAGGCGUGUGACUCAAGCUUAAGUGCUUCCUGCUUAUGAGCAGGUUUCUCAUCACAGAAAUGUGGCAGGGGUUCGAGUCCCCUUCUUGUCA